GCCCCCGGCGCCGGCACGCGGACCCGAACGAGGCGACAAGGUCGGUCCUCCCCCGCCGGGCCUUCCCCGCGCUCCCCGGCGCCCCCAGCCCGCUGACCCCCGGCCAGGCAGGCCCGCGGGGGAGGCAGGACCGGAGCCCUGAGGCCCUGGCCGGCCUCGGGGUUGAGGCUCAGCUCGGGAUAAGUGAUCUUUGGGGCCCGCAGAGGACGUCUCCCCAAGACCCAGUGGCAACCGGGUGAGCUUCCCCCAAGGCACCAUUACACUUCCUAACUCUUGAGGGGGCUGCAAACCAUUUUGAGAACGUGAUGAAAGCUCUUCUCUCUUCAGGGCGAAAUACGUAUAUGCACAAACUUUUGUCUAGAGUUCCGGGGGUACUCAGGCCUUCGUGAAGACCCAAACUCAUGCAGUCUGUGGAGGUCAAUGUGCCCAGGUUAAGAAGAUGGACCUUCACGGCCUAGGGGCUGAGCUGCCCUCCUCAAAACAGUCCUGUUUGGCUUCUUUCAAGAGAGGCAGUGCUCAUGUUUUAUAAGGUCCAAUAGGUCACCUUCUCAUUUGGCUCCUGAAAAGAACCUUUUCUGGUCUCUUCUAACCAAUUACCCAGCUCCGGCUCUCCCAUUCUCAAAUUUGACUUGUUUUGGGGAGCUGGGGAGAAAGCAAUACAAUAGUGGGGAAAUAGGCGCUCAGCUGGCAUGGGGCGAGUGUUCUACUCUGGCGUCAAGCACAGCCAUGCUGGAAGAUCAGGGGUCUUUAGAUUUCGUUUCUGAUGCCCCACCCCUCCACCUAACAGGGAAGCUCACGAAUCUGCCUAGAGAAAGUAUCUUGUUUGGAGCUUGCUGGCUAUUUUUAGCCAGUAUUUUUAGCAUUUAAAAAUACUCCAAGAGGCAGCAGUGUAUGCUGUUACUCAUCUGUGGGCUCCUUCUGUUCCUUCUGGUGUGCUCAUCCCCACAUGUACACGCACACAUGACCACAGCUACAUGGGGACUGUGUCCAGGACACACGUAUGGCAGUACCCCAGGCCACCGACAAAGCAGCAAUUUCAUGCUAAUGAGAGAGGGAUGGGGACAGGGACAGGAACCACAGGCAGUCUGCUUGUGAUCAGUGAGAGUGGGCAUGUGAGGAGUGGUGAUCUCUACAGUCACUGUCCUCACCCAGACUCUGACUGAAUCUGGACCCCGGACAAACUGCAGCAGCCUUUCUCCAAGCCUCCUUUCCAGCCAAACGCUUUCAAGCCAGCCCUACACCAUCUGAAGCAAUGUUUGCAUCUGAUCUCAUCACUCUUCUGUCCUGAAACAACUAGAGCACCUGCCCUUGCAUCCAGCCCCGAAGCCUCAGGUAGCCUUUCUCUAAGGCUGUUUGUCCACAGGCCCACCACCCUCAGUCUUUGACCACUGCUGUCAACCAGCCUGUGCUUAUCCUCUGCUGAAAAACCAAAACUGCCACUCAUUAAGUACUUAUUAGAUCCCAGGCACUGGGUUAAGGGUUUUAUAUAUAUUAUCCCAGUUAAUUUCUAUAACAUCAUGCUGUAGUAACUAUUACCUCUAUUUUAUUUGUUUUGUUUUUUUUUUUUUUGAGACGGAGGCUUGCUCUGUCGCCCAGGCUGGAGUGCAGUGGCACGAUCUCGGCUCACUGCAACCUCUGCCUCCCGGGUUCAAACAAUUCUCCUGCCUCAGCUUCCUGAGUAGCUGGGAUUACAGGUGCGCACCACCACGCCUGGCUAAUUUUUGUAUUUUUAGUAGAGACGGGGUUUCACCAUGUUGGCCGAGCUGGUCAUGAACUCCUGACCUCAAGUGAUCCGCCCACCUCAGCCUCCCAAAGUGCUGGGAUUACAGGCGUGAGCCACCACGCCCGGCCUAUUACCUCUGUUUUAUAGGUGAAGGACCUUAAGCCUAGAGAGGUCAAAUGACUUUCCAGGACUGCAAAGUUAAUAAAUGACAAUGUGGGGCUUUGUCUUACAGCAAAACCCAUGCUUUUAACAGGAAAUUCUGGGAUGUACUUCCUGCUCUCUGCCAAUUACCUACUUGUAAAUUCUGCCUAAAAUUUGCAUCUUCCAAAAGCCUUCCCUAAUUAACUCCACCCAUCUCUAAACUCUCCAUUACUGCAUAUCGUCAGUCUAUGCGCAUUCAGUUUGCAUGGUGUUAAUCUAUCUUAAUAUGUUUAUCUUUGCUUUAUAAGUGUUUCAAAGAGUCCUAUAAAUGGUCUUGUGUGUGGCUUGUCUUGGUUUUGCCAGCACACUGAAACCUCCUCAAGGGCAGGGUUGUGGGUUCUCUUGGUGGGUUCUUAAUAAAUGGUGUUGAUCUUGUCUCUAAAGAGGGCCAGACCAGGCUCUGCUAGGAAUCCUGGGAGUCACACUAAGCCUCAGAGGGUGGGGUGUGAGUCUGCUUUUGCAUGUUGAACACAUGUGCUGCUGGGCUUGGGGGGACCUGCCCAAGAGGUGCUCACCCACUAUAGCAUUUGGCCUGUUUCCCCAUGACUUAGACACAGUGAUGUAAGCACUCCCACCCAGGACAUCUGGGUGUUCUGCCAGCUUGCUCUCCCUCUUCCCUGGGAUUUAGGAGGUUAGAGGGGUUGCCAGGAGCAGGGAGGGCCAGAUGCAGAAAGCUUUAGCGUGGGAGCACUUUGAGAAGUCUGGGGUUGGGGGAAAGAAUUCACACAGAGUCCAGUCUAGUCAAGCAGGUCCGACUGCUGCAGGACACGGCCACAAAGGACCUUGGCUCAUCUCUCGGCCAGCCAGGUCUCUGUGAGACCCUUUCUCUUCACUGCCAUUCUCGGAGUGGGAUGGAUACAAAGGAUAGAGGCUUCUGGCAUCUGAAUCUGGCUCUGGCUCAGUGACUCUCUGUGCUUCAAAUACACAAAGCUAAACUGAGCUGGGCUCAUUCCUGCAUCCUGACUGCCGUUCCUCAGAACCUGGGCUUGGCCUGCUUCCCUAUAGGAUAAGUAAUUUUUGUCACCUUAAAUCCUUCCUGGCAUGAGAUGGAGUGAUAUAAAUGAAAGUUAGGGCUAGCUCUAUGAGGGCGGGGACUGAGAGUAUUCUGCUUCUCUCAGAUCUGCGUGGGCAGCUUAGGCCAGGGUUUGGUGACACUGCUGGGGCUAAGGCAGAUGUCUUAAAGCCUGGCUCCCAGCAUGUGCCUGCGAUUACCACCGCAAAUGGACAGACCGGUGGCCUGAUUGAUUGAUGGAUGAAAAGGUAGGGGCUCUGAGUCCUUGUUAGGGGUUGGGCUUUUGCCCCACAGUGCACCUUGGGGAGAGAGGGUCAGCCCAUCCUCCCCACUCUCUGUAGGAAGGUCUGCUUCCCUGCAUGACGUGGACCCCAAGAGGCCAAAAGCUCUGUGCACCUUUGAGCCCAGGCAGUCUGGCCUGAACCAGCUGGAUUCCAGAGGCCCACACACCUCCUUCUUUUGCAUGUGUCUCCGUCUGGGGCGCUAGUUUUAUGUACGUAUUGAGGUGAGAGAGUACAAGGGGCCACGUGUGCAGCUUUGGGCUCUGAACAUGAUGUUCAUUUCUGCAGCUGGUGGUCAGUGGAGCGGCUCCCCCAGGGGCAAGGAACAUUUUGCCAGGCUUGGAUUAACUUCUGCAUUGCUGAGCCCCACCCCAGCACCACAUUAACUCAUGAAGACAUCCUGGAGUGGGGGUGGAGGAGGAGGCGGGAGGAUGGUGCUGGGCACCGAUUGAGAAAUUGAGCCUGGAUAAGGCAGUACCAAGGCUAACGGCCAGGAUACAGCCCACAGCCGGUCUGCAAGGGAUGGAGACAUCAGUGUCUUGCUGAUUCUAGUCACAAACCGCAAACCCACUGCCCUUUCCUUCGCAGCAGCUAGUACAGCUCCUGGCCAAGGGGCCCCUCUGGCUUAAGGUCCUUUAGUGACCUUCUCAUGCUGCCAACACAGAUUCAUGACCUCAGGAAGUUCAACCUCCUUAGGGUGGCUUAGUGAUCCCGGGGUGGGAGUAGGUAAGGACAGACCCCAGGAUCUCAGGCUGCCAAGCUAGACAAACAAGGCAGCAGGGAUACAGGCCAGUGUGGCUGCGUGAACGGAGCGAGAACAUGAGGGACGAGAGGCGAGUUGUACUUCUCACCUAGGAGCUCCAGGACAGCCCCUGCUAUCCGCAAUUUGUUCUCUUUGGAGUAACCUCCGCUCACUGCAGGGCAGCAUUCAAGUCCAAAGUCCCACCCCAGGGAAAAAUCACAUGACCUCAGCUUAUAUAAUCUCCCUGUCACUGAACAGCUGGAACCCAAGGCUUCGGAAGAUGAGUCAGCAGCCCCAGUGGCAAAUAGGACCCAGGUAUUCAGUUUCCCAGACCUUUUGCUCCUAGAAACAGGUCCUAGAGCGGAGGGCAAGGGUGUGGAAGAGACUGGGUGGGUGAGAAUAGGCUGGGCCAGACUCUGAGCCUCAGCCCUGGCUCUGCCUCCGAGUUGCAGGUGCCCAGCUUGCUGACUGUGCUCUGGAGGGCCCUGGGCCAACCCCUGGAUCUUCUUGGGGAGAGGAGAGGGUGGCCUGGGCAGGGUGGGGCAAGGGCUGGGCAGAGGCCAGCGGGCAGAAUGCCAGGGCUAGGGAGGAGCAGCUGGAGGGGUGGAGCUGAGGGGGAUUAGGAAGGAUUGUAGGGGUUAAAGCGCAGCCCUGGCAGGGCUCAAUGGGAACAGCUCGUCCUUCCAUAGACCCCGGGAACAGGAGAAGUGGGGCAGAGUAGGGAGAUGACAGGGUUGGGACUGGGGCUCCUGGGUCUCUGCAGGGCUGAGCCACCUGAGCUGGCUUGGAGUCCCCACUUGGGUUAGUGAACACUUUUUUUCCACCAUCACUGUUCCUCCUCUCUGCAUUUUAAGCAGAAGGUGAAGUCUCAGGGGAGGCCCUCAUUAUACAAGUGCUGAGCUGCGCCCCCCUGGCCUGGCAUUUUGUUGGUGCUUACACAAGCAUGGGGAGGGGAUAAUUCUGAAUUUAUGUGGCGCCCCCUGCCACCCGCCCCUGCCCCCCGCCAGCUCUGUGCUCAUGCUCAGCUGAGUCUGUGAUAUUCAAAGUUCGUGUUGCCUAUUACUGUUAAUGAGGGAAAGAAGUCUGGCUAGAACUGUUCUCCCUGGUCACAGCCUGCUGUUGACCUCCCUUAAUGAAUGCCAGCUGUAGCUCCAGUCAGCUAUCCUGAGAAUCCCCUGGGACACAGGAUGUACUUUUUUUUACCUCUGUUUCUCCCACGGGGUUGGUGGGGAGGGGGCUUCCUACUCUAGUCAGCUGCCAAACGCCCCCUUUCUAUGAUCUCUUUUCCCCCCUUAAGUUUAAAUGACCUCUUCUGCAGCAUUUUAUUGAUUUCACAUUCCUCCACCUUCAUUAUUUGCUUUGAGCCUCAUGGCAUGCUUGAGAGGUGGGCAGGGCGGGCGUGAUUGUUCCCUUUUAUAGUCUAGGAAAUACAGCCCAGCUGAUAGGUGUCCAAGGUUAGAGAGGCCAACUGUUCCUUCCACUGGUCACGAGCAGCCCGUCCCAGCCUCAGAUGACCUCUCCCUUUCCGUCCACCUGUGACACUCAAGAACACCCAGGGCUGCCUCCCAUUGUACCUAUUUAAGAACUUCUUCUUGGCCAGGCGUGGUGGCUCACACCUGUAAUCUCAGCGCUUUGGGAGGCCGAGGCGGGUGGAUCACCUGAGGUCAGUUCAAGACCAGCCUGGCCAACAUGGUGAAACCCCGUCUCUACUAAAAAUACAAAAUUAGCCUGGUGUGGUGGUACACGCCUGUAGUCCUAGCUACUUGGGAGGCUGACACAGGAGAAUCACUUGAACCUGGGAGGUGGAGGUUGUAGUGAGCCGAGAUCGCACCACUGCACUCCAACCUGAGUGAGACAGAGCGAGACUCCAUCUCCAAAAAAACAAAACAAAACAAACUUAUUUCCCUAAGUGAAUUGUGAAGGCACUGAAGGCAGGGACUGUUGCUCGCACACAUCUCUUGCCUGCCAAAGCACCAGAAGGGUACAACAACGAGGACUAACAUUUACUAAGCAACAUGCCAGGCACUUUCACAUACAUUAUCUUUUCAUUCCUCAAGUAAUCUGUGAAGUGGGAACUAUGAUCACUCAUCUUACAGAGGAGGACACAAGUUCAGAAGCUAAGGGACCUAUCUGAGGUCACGCUGCUAGUAAGCUGAGCACCACAAAUGAGUGCCUCAGAAGGCAAGAUCCCCAGAUGGAGAUCUAGAAAGAAACUGGACCCAGUUUUAGAAAGAAGUGGUCCAGGCCGCACGAGCAGGGUUGUUCUCACCUCAGCAAGACGCACUCUGCUCCAGGAAAUGACGAUAAGGGGUGGAGAGAUCAGGGUGAGGUUAAAUAAAGGUCUUGUACUAUUGACCCUGGAGAGGCCUCUGCUGGUUGGCAGUAUCUUCUGGGGCAUGAGCUCAGAAUGAAACACUAGCUCAACUGCAGGGCAUUCCCGGCUAAAGUGCCUUAUGAGUUGCUUCUGGAUGAGGGUGGCUGAGUUUGUCCCAGGGCAAUCUGCCACUUCUUUGAGGUCCUCUCUCAAAAUUCCCUUCACCUUGGCCCUGGAGCCGGGGGGAGGAGCCAGGGUUGUCCCUUCUGGAGAGUUGGAGGGCGGCAGACUCCCAGGAGGGUUGGGCCAUGCCUGUGUGGGGAGGAGGCAGAUUCCCAGUGGAAUCUGAUCCCCAGUAAAGGGGAAUACUGCUGUCAUGAUUGGGGCUGAGGGUGGGUCUGUAGUUUAGUCUGCGCUGAGGUUUUCCAUCUCAGCAUGCCUAGAGAUCACCCAAAGAGCUUGUGGAAAGAGCAGCUUCCCAGGCCCCAUCCCGAGAGAGUUUGCUUCAGUGGGUUUGGAUGAAUCGUUAAGCCCUGCAGUGACUCUGACACAGGCAGUCUGCAGACCCCACUUUAAGGAGCACUGCUGACCAUGAAACAACCCUUCUCUUCUGAGCAAGGGGAGGGAGCCCCGCAGAGGCUUCUAGGACCCGAGCCCCUCCGAGGAGAGCCAUAUUCUAAUUGCCCUGGGGUUGAACAGCACCAGCCGAGUCCAAGUGAGUCCUGCUCCACUCCAAGCCCAGCACGCAGCACCCUGAGAGCUGAUACUUCCCCACCAUGCCAGCUCUGUUGUGACACAUCUCUCUUCUCCACUCCUUUCUACAGUGGAUCCAGCCCUGCCUUGUCAAGUUCUGAAUGUUCUGGGAGGCACCAGCGUUUCUAUCUCCUGUGCCACUUCACAGAUGGCACAACAAAGCCAAGACUCCCUAAGUCAUAUUAUCAAAGUUGCUCUCUCAAGACCUUUAGUUAUGCAAGCUUCAAGGUCCUGCCCCUAUUCCUGAACCCCUGCUGCAUUUGUCUGGAUCAGCCCUCCAAGCAGUAUUUCUUGCUGUGGCAUGCUGUUGUUUUCAAAAUGUAUUUGUCCUAGGAGUAGGGAGGGGUACAUAAGGUAAUGGAGGAGACACAGCAUCCAGCCCUUCUGCCCAUAUGCUUGCCUGUCCAUCUGUCCACCCGCCAUCUACCCGUGUAUCCACCCACCCACCACCCACACAUCCAUCCAUCCAUUCAUCCCUGCAAUCAGCAGGUCAGCCCCCAUUGUGGGAGGCACGUGGCAGGGGAUCUAGAGAUAGGAUUUCUUUUUCCUCCUCUGAGAGCUUGCCACCUAAUGGGCACACUAAUAACUACAGAAAAGGCAGAUGUCGUCAGUGCCCCAAGAGAGGCGUGUGCGGGCAUUAGUUGGCGAGCGAGCCCAUGCCAGCCCUUGGUCAGUCUCCAGCAGAGCCUCUUCCCUCAUUCCAGCUGAGGCAGGGCUGGAAUAGAGGUAUUGGAUUGUCUCAAGCCCUAGAUAAAAAUUUCUCCCCUACUUUCUCCAAAGCCAGAUGAUAAGCAUUGCUGUCUGAUACCCUGGUCCUGAGUAUGCCAGUGUCACUCAGAGGAGAGUCCCUCUUCCCCUGAUGUCUUAUGUCCAAAUGUAAAGCCAGGCCUUGGGGCUAGGGAAUAAAGCCUGCACAAGAGGGGAGAUGCAACCACAGCAAGGAGGCCCUCCUGCCACAGGGUGCACUGGUGGUCUGGGCCCCCCCGCAUCCAGCCCAGGUUGGGGCAAGGCCUGCAGGAGACACUGGCAUGUCACAUAGAAAAGGAGAAGGUGAGAAGAGUGGUUCAUUGGGCGCAGCAGAGCAUUCCUGAGAACACUACUGGACUAUCCUCGAGUGCGCGGGCCCUGAGUGGGCUUUCUAGGCAGAGUGGGAAGGCCCCUCCCCUCGGCACGGAGCCCCAGGGGCACCAGAUGUGCCAGGAUGACUUCUCUUGUUUGUCUCCACCAGGAGCAGCCUGUCAGUCAUCAGUCAGGUUGGGAGUCGAGCCCUCAGCCUGGCUGUUCUCCAUCAGUGGCUGCCUCCCCAGCCUAUCCCCGGUCCCCAAGGGUAAACUCACCAUGCCGUCUCUUCCCGGGGAGCUGGAGCGGCUGGGCCCAGGGGCCUGACCCUUUCCCGUCUCCCACAGCGUGUAGCGGCCAAUGGGUCGGUAGGUUGGGCUGAUGAUUUCAGGGACUCGUGAGGGAGGGGCCUGGGAGGGCACCUGAGAUGCACUGCCCUUGCGACCAUAGUUCUCCAGGUAGUCGACCAGGUAUUCAGGGCAGCUGGCUGUCUGGUAGAGCCCCUGCAGGGUGCAGAGCUCCUUGCGCGUCCGGGCCAGCAUGGGGCUGCGGCCCAGGUUCCUGGGGUCUAUCCGGUAGCUAUCUGAGGUCCGGAGGCUGGAGAAAUCCCGGGCCAGGUCUGAUUGGCUGUCCAGCUUCUGGGUUAGGGUCACCCCCUGGUCAUAGGCAUUGAUGGGCAGGUAGCUGAGGCAGUUGUUGGUCACUCCAUAAGGGAAUCCGCUGCCCCCGCUGAGGCCACUGCCUAAAGGCCGCUCAGUACCCCGGGUCUGGCUCUCUGCCCGCUUACCACCCCCAGUGAUGUCGGGUCUCAGCAGGGGGCGGCCCCGGUCAUAGUCCAGGAGGGAGGAGGGGCCAUAGGUACGGGGACGGGUGAGGAAGCUGCUGGUGGGGACCGGCUUGAAACCAAGUUUCUCCUUCUCCAGUAAGGAGGCAGCCAGAUUGGCCCCAUAGGAGGACGGGGUGUAGGCACCAUAGCCCGACUUGGCAUAGUGGGCAUCUGUGUAGCGGGCCGAUUCUGUGUAGCGCUUCAGGGUGGAGGAGAGCUGGGACAUCCUUCAGGGUGGCACUCAGUGGGGACUGGGAGCCUCAUGGGCUGAAAGACAAGGAGUGUAGUUGUCAGAGGGCCCUGCCAGGUGUCGGGCUCCCACAGACCUGCUCCCCAUCCUCAGCUGGGCCAGAACCUCAGAGCUCCCAGUCCAUUUCCACAAGAGGCAGGCUGGCUGCUGAGAAGCACACAUGCACGCAGGUGUGCACAGGAGCUUGCUUGCACCUGUGUGUUCACACCUCGGUGAGAGUGCGAGGGAUGAGGUGGCUUUUAUAUGCCACACAGGAAGUCAGCGCAUCCUGGCCAUUCAAAGACUCAAACACGCAAGCAGGGGCUAUCUGACCUCCACAGCCCACCAAGCCGUGCAGUCUUCCAGGUCAAAUCCCAUUGCCUCAGCAUCUGCAGAAACUCUUGAGCUGGGGGAAUGCCACUGACCCCUGGGUUGAGAAUGCUGGAUAUUUCAGGAGUUAAGACCACAUCUGUCCCUUCUGACUUAUGUGAUGAGCAGGUGUCUUUUUGGAAUCCUAGACUGUCUGUGCUGGAAUGACCUGAAGAUCAUUUGGUCAGAUCCCCUGUGAGGCCAAGGAGGCUCAGGGGAGGAAGUAAUGGGGUGUGGGUGGGCAGGGGAGGCCGUGAGUGAGCAUGCAACAAUGAGGGGCCAGAACGUGGUCUCCAGACCCUUUCCCCAGACACCAGCACCUGCUGCAUGGUCCCACAGUGAGGGACACUCACUUCACUGAGCUAAGCUUCUGUUCUAAGUGGAGUUAGGGCCCUGUGGCCUCCUAAGAGUUCCUCUACCAACACAGGCUUCCUCUACAAACACAGAUCUCAAAUUGGUCCUGGCGAUGCUUGUGCAAAGGGGGCCCCCUACAGUCCCAAAUCUUGCACUGCAGGUGGCAUUCCCAGUCCUUCCCUGCUCCAGUCCUGCAGCUGGGGAGGGUCUAGUGAAGGAACACAGACACUGCUGAAUGUGGAGCUUUGAGAGCCCCAGAGGAUCAUGAAUUUUAAUCUAUCUGUUAUACAGAUGGGAAAAGUGAUGCUUAUUUGCCCCCGGCCACACACCAGCAGAGCCAGGACUGGAAUCCAGGUCUUUAAAAUCCUGGCCAGUGUUCUUUCUACUUAACCUGGAGUUACCUCCCCCGCAUCAGAUUUAGGGUCAGUUGGGGACCCCCAGAGGCCUUCCAUCACCGUAAACGUGCAGCCUGUAUCCAAUGGAGCUGGAGUGGCAGAGGAGCAAGUAGGGUCAGACGCCUUUCCCCGAGGGCAUCAGGGGCUCUUGGGGGGCUUUCUAGGGGGAUGGAGCAGAGCCAUCCAGGACUCUCAGAGUUGUGGGACUUGCCCUGUGAUGGACUAGCUGGGUGAUUUUGCACUAGUCACGUAACCUCUCUGAGCCCCAACUUCCUCAUCUGUAAAUGAGUAAAACCAUCAUCCUCAUAAUUCCUACCUCACAGGGCUGUUGUGAGGAAUAAAUGAGAUAACAACACGUGAAGGGCUCCACAAUGACAGUGGCUACCAUCUCCUCCCCCAGCUACUGCGAGGCAGCAUGGCUCCGCCCUCUGAAGGUCUGUGAUAAUAUCAGGGCUGGCUGUCUCCCAGCCUGGCCAGCCUCUGGCCUCAGCUUGGGAUGCCAGGCCUCCCCCUGCAGCCCCCAGCGAGAGAAACAGGCAGUGGGCAGACAUCUGGCCACUCAGCAGACACUGGCUUGGCAACCCAGCCCAUUAGGGCAGAGAGGAGCUGGUGCCAAACCCCAAAUGCGAGGGCUUGGCAGAAAGCUCUAGAAUCCCAGUCCACACAAGGCUUUGGGGUAGGUACAGGGGUGAGAGAUGAGCAGGUGGCUUCCAUAUAGGCCCGGAACAGCAUUCCUUGACCCUGCCUGAGAACUCCAGCAGUUUUCAGUCCAGGCUGACAUCAGAAAGGCCUGGUCCAUCUUACUGUCUAGCCUUUUGCCACCUGGCCCAGGGGGCCCCUGGCCCUUCAUGUACACUCCUUUGCCCACUGUGCCCAGCACAACUUUCACCCCUUUCUAGGAAAAGGUAACUGGGGGAUGAUGUCACACAGCGUUAGAGGGAAACCAUAGCGGGAGAGACAGACAGAGGCACAGGGUCGGGGUGGGGGCCCAGUCCUGCCCUAUUUUGCUUUGGAGAACUCCAUCAAUAAUGCAAAGUCAAAGAGACUCCAGGUCUCAGGAGCUGGGCUCUGGGACACCAGGCAGCCAAUCAGAUACAAUCCCCCCAACAAGGGUAUGAGCUCAUGGCUCCUCCCCACAGCUCUCCCUCUCCCUCCCCCACAGUAAGGCUCUCAGGGAAUUGGUAUUCUUCGGGCAGCGCCCCAAGCCCGUGACAUCCCUUGACCCUGCUGAUGACGCAGAAGUGCUGGGGCCAAACGAGGUCCAGAGGACAGGGACAGACAGCUCUGAAAGGCUUUGGAGCCGGAGGUGGGGCCACAUCUCUGGCCCACAGAUUCCCAGGAGGGCUCCCAAAUCCCCACUCUCCCUCCCAUCUGGCAGGUGAUUGCCAGACCCCUCCGCCUCCUCCUAGCAGCCCUGGGAGUCAUGCCAUCACUAAUACUCCAUGGAAGCUGCCUCUCGGCUCUGACUUCUAGCUACAGUUCCCAUGCCUGCGGAGAGGGUUCCUACUGGGGCCGGGGCCUUCCACAUGUCUCUCCCCUCCCGCAACCCCCAGUUUCACUCUCAAAGGUCCUAGCACCUUCCAGGUGAAAGCACAGCCUGGGUUGGUGCCCCUUGGCAUUACCUGCACAGCUGUCCCUGGAGGCCACAGAAUGCACUAUGGGCAGGAGAGCGGGCUGGGGCCCUGGCCGGAGUCUCGCUGCGCAAGACAGGGACAGGACGGGCACUCACGUGGCUGCGAGUCUCCCUGUUGCCACAGGAACAGCCUGAACUGAAUGGCCCUUUCAUGGGGCAGUGGGAGGCAAGCCAAUUGGCUGGGAUCCCCCAUACCCCUCCCUGCCCAGUGCGGGGGGCCCCUGCUGCCCAGCUCCUUUCACUGUUUACCCAGAGCUGGCAAGUACAGGCAUGCAGCUCCAGGCAGCGCCUCUCCAGGUGUCCGCCACCUUGGACAAUGGGGGCAGUCCCCUGCCCAGCUCCUCCUCCUGGCCAUCUUCACUGAGGUGUCCUGACCCUUCCUUCUCUGUCAGAGAUUCCUGUUGCUUUGCUCAGUUUCCCUCUCCUGGGAGGUGCAGCAGAGUUCCUCUGCACAGAGGCACUGGGCUUCCUGUCAGGGCAUCUGAGCCAAGCAGCUGUCACCCCAGCUGGCUGGUGCUGAUCACCUCUGAACCAGGCCCCAGGCAUGUUGAGUACUUCACAUGCAGCUUCUGAGUCCAUCUUCUCUGCAGUCUCACAUCAGCUCUCAUCGGCCCUUGCCAUGUGACGCAUUCUUCUAGAUGUGCUUCAUACACAGAGCACCCCAAAAAGUCUUAGUGCAGGUUUAAGCUGGGAUUCUUUCAGACAUAAAUGUCUCCAACUUACACACCUCUUUGGACAGAUUAAAUUAUUUAAAUUAAAAUUUAAAAACAUUUUCACAAUUAAAAAAUAAAUAUACAAGAAAUUUAAAUAUGGAAACUUUCAAAUGAAGUUUUUAGCAUUCAUAUUUCUGAAGUUAUUAAAGCUUAAAACUGCACUAAGGCUUGGGACACAGUGCAUUAACUCACUGAAUCCUCCCUGCUCCUUUAAGCGGUAGGUGCUGUUAUCACGUCCAUUUGCAGAUGAGGAAGUUGGCGAUGCUGGGAGUGAUGUGGAUUUCCCAAAGUCACACUGGGAGCAGUGGCAGAGCUGGGCUGGACUCGUGCUCUGUCUGCUAUAUCUGGCCUGAAGCCCAGACCCCUGCUUCACUCUUCCCUGGCUCUCCAUGGGACGGGUCAGGACUGGGACCUGUGGGUGGGGUUUGAGGGAAGGACCACCACAGGAUCCAGGUGUCCGUCAUCCAGUAACAGCAUGCGGUGUACAGACUCUGGCAGGAGCAGCCCUCUGGAUUUUCCACUGCAGGUGAAUGAAAGUGAAGCCAGGUGCAACUCGAGCCCCAGAACAAUACUGAUAGGCCGAGAGAUGGUCCAGGAAGCCUCCAUUUCACCCACUGUGCCAAGCCCCUGCAUGUCCCCUGGCACCAGCAUCUACCCCAGCUCGGGGCCUUGGGUCCCUGGCCUGGUUAUGAGCAAGUCCCUAGCCUCCUACCCUGGCUGCAGCUUGGCCCACUCCUCAAGGUACCCAUGCUGGGUGAGUCAGGGGUUAAAAUGAACCCUGUCCCCGUGGGGCAGCCAACCCCUUUGCUUCAGCCACUGUCAUUUCCUGUUGCUCACAUGAAGGGCUCCCUAACCUGCCCAGCCAGGGGAGGGACUUGCUCCCCAGGAAUUCCAGGCGCUCCUGGCCCUGGGGGCAGGGGAUGGGUGAUGCCCCACAUCCCAGUAACCUUCAUGGCUUCUCUCUGCCCAGAUCUGCUUGGCUUUCUGGGGUGAAAGCCUGCUUUGCUACUGGGGCCUGGAUAGAGAGCCUCUAGCUGAGUUUCAGAAGCACGCCUAAACAGGGUUAAGUCUCUUCCCUCCUACUCAGGUGCCCGGAAAAGGUGAGUGGGGAGUCCCAGCCAGUCCCGCCAGGUGGUUGGGAGCCCCCACAGUGGUGACCUCAGAGCUUCCUAAAGCCACUUGCUAACAGCAUCAGAAUGUGCUGACCUUGAAGGACAAGGUGGGUGAGAGGGGGCCCUGUAUCCUUCCAUCUGCACUCUGACCCUGCCUCCCAGCUGCUUGGGUCACCUGCUGCACUAUCUGGGCACAAGUGUCUGGUCCUGGAGGAUGGGAUGAGGGAAUCCUGGCAGGUGUAGAGGACAUGGGUAGAGUAGGGGAUGGGGGGGCGGGGGCAUAUUUAUGCUCAAACAGUCCUUGAACUCCGCCUACUCCUCUCAGGCCCCAGGGCCUGGGCUGGCCUCCUCCCCUCCAGCCUGUCACUAGGCUUUGUCUAUCAGGGGCUAGCACCCGCUGAUCCACCAGCCUAAUCCUCUUGCCUCCCCUGGCAGGGGGUCAUCCAAGGGAAUUUGGGUCCAUUUCUCUUUCUUGUGCUCCCAGUAGUUACCCAAGAGCUGGGGGAGGGGAGGAGGUAAGAUAAAGAGACUGGAGAUUAAGGCAAGAAUCCUGACUGGUGGAGAAGAAGUGGAUGGGCCCAGGGCAGUUUCUAUAGGGUGCUCCUUGAUUUGGGGUUGUGAGUGGGUGGGCAUCUAUACACUUCCAAGACAAGGCAAAGAAAUGGGCCUCCAGGUAGUAUUGGGAUCCUUAAAUUCUCUUUUCCAAGCACCUCUGCCCAGGUACUCUCCUGGUGCCCCCUCCCAAGGGGAGAGCCCCGGUCUCCUUCCUUCUCCUCUA
rnacentral:lncRNA from 1 species